rnacentral:rRNA from 1 species
CGCAAUGGGCGCAAGCCUGACGGAGCAAUACCGCGUGAGGGAGGAAGGCUUUUGGGUCGUAAACCUCUUUUAUUGGGGAAGAAGCACUGACGGUACCCAAUGAAUCAGCAUCGGCUAACUCCGUGCCAGCAGCCGCGGUAAUACGGAGGAUGCAAGCGUUAUCCGGAAUUAUUGGGCGUAAAGCGUCCGCAGGUGGUUAAUCAAGUCUGCUGUUAAAGCGUGCGGCUUAACCGCAUAUCGGCAGUGGAAACUGGUUGACUAGAGUUCGGUAGGGGUCACGGGAAUUCCCAGUGUAGCGGUGAAAUGCGUAGAUAUUGGGAAGAACACCAGCGGCGAAAGCGCGUGACUGGGCCUGAACUGACACUGAGGGACGAAAGCUAGGGGAGCGAAAGGGAUUAGAUAC